AUUUGCACUUGAUAUUUAUUAUCUUGUGAAUUUGAUUGAUAAAACUAUUCUUGUAUGUGUUUCCUUCAUUUAAAAUAAACAUACUCUUCCUAAUAUUUAAAUAUUCAAACUAUCCAUAUGCACAAAAACAACUAAAACCUGUUGCCGGUUCGGUUUUGGCCAUUUUUGGCUCAAUGGUUUAGGCUCUGUUUAGAUAGGGUGAGAGAAGUGUAAUUAAUGGGAGGAUAAGAGAGGGUAAGGAAGGGACAGGGUAAGGAGGGUUA
rnacentral:misc_RNA from 1 species